UCGGGAAUUUUGGGCAAUGGGCGAAAGCCUGACCCAGCAACGCCGCGUGAAGGAUGAAGUAUUUCGGUAUGUAAACUUCGAAAGAAUAGGAAGAAUAAAUGACGGUACUAUUUAUAAGGUCCGGCUAACUACGUGCCAGCAGCCGCGGUAAUACGUAGGGACCAAGCGUUGUUCGGAUUUACUGGGCGUAAAGGGCGCGUAGGCGGCAAUUCAAGUCAUCUGUGAAAUCUCCGGGCUUAACUCGGAACGGUCAGAUGAUACUGCUUUGCUAGAGUGCAGAAGGGGCAAUCGGAAUUCUUGGUGUAGCGGUGAAAUGCGUAGAUAUCAAGAGGAACACCUGAGGUGAAGACGGGUUGCUGGGCUGACACUGACGCUGAGGCGCGAAAGCCAGGGGAGCAAACGGGGAUUAGAUACCCUUGUAGUCCCUGAGCGGGCUGGCAAGGCGCAU
rnacentral:rRNA from 1 species